CUCCCUCCGAGAACUCCCCACCUUGCUCUUGGGGUGACUCGAACUCACAACCUCUUGGUUGGAAGUGGAGGGUGCUUACCACUAGAGCAACCCACUCUUUUCUAUCAACAGCCCUGGCAUCAAAAAAUGUUGAUGAAAAGAAUGAUGACAAUGAUGCUAAAUCAGUCAUCUAUGUCUUUAUCCCGAAUAGUUUGGGUCGGCUAUAUGAACCUGUGUUCAUUCACUCUAAACCCUAAACCUAGUGAACGAGGCUGUGAUGAUCUUAUCCAGAAAGCUUGAAAUCUCAGAUAUUUGUGCUGAUUCUUAGCUUGGCUGGGGAACGUAGGGGGAGUUUUGGUUUUUAGCUUUGGUUUUUGAUACUUUUAAACAAAUCUGAGCCUCAUUUUUGUGUUACUUUCAAUUCCUUGGACAAUCUGUCAACAUUUUCUUUUCUGGUUCUUUUUUUAUGUCUACAUUUUUCUAGGUUAUUACCCCCUCUUCAUACAACAACCAUGCUUCAGUUUCAAGCUAGUUGCAGUCAGUUAUAUGAAUCCUCACUAUUUUUUCUACUUCAUUUGGACCCAUUUUAUUCCAACAUUCGAUAAUUUGAGGCUCUCUUAACUCUAGAAGUUCUAACGUACAAAUCUUGAAAUAUACUAAAAGGCCUCCCAGUAAACACUACACGUAAUGUAAGUGUACAAAGCCUUAUUCCACUUUUGAAAAGAAGUUUCAUGUAUUCUCCUCAAAUUUUGAUUCCAUUUUCUGGAUCUUUAGAAUCCACAUUCUCUGAGGCAGUGAAGAUUAUCUUAAUAAGACUGAACAAUAUUUUUGAGCUAAUUCCUGGCUUGGCACUUGGAAGGUCUGUGAAGGAUGUUGUUCCUUCUCAUGAGGCAACCAUGUAUGCAGCUAUGAAAGUUUUAGCUCUGCUCUUUGAUUAAAUAGGCGAAAAUCUGAGCCUCCUCCAUACCUCAGUUUAACUUUUGUUUGAACACUGUAAUUGUAUAUUGGUGAAGCUUUCUGGGAAUAAAUUUGAACUUAAAUGUCAGUCUUAAACUGAUUUCGAGUUUCAUAGUUGUUUUGUGAUAGUUGGGUUUUCAUGAAAAAAAUUACAAAAAAUGUCAUGGUCUCUUGUCUUGAUGUCGUCAUGUCUUUAAUAGUUCAUUCUGAAUUUUUCUAACUUGCCCCGUAUAAGAAAUGAUGAUGAUAGCAAAAUUAUUGAUGGAGAGAAUUGACAGAAAACAACUGUCUUUUAGCUUUCACUGACAAGCCCAUCUAAAAUUUGAUAGGUGGGGAUAUCCUUGCGCCUUAAUAGCACUGGACUUUUCCAGUUUUACUUGAGAUGUUCAAGCCUUCCUAGUCGACCAAGGUAUUCAGCAUUCUUGAAGACAAAGUUGCAGGUAAUACAUACUCUUUGCCUUUAGGACGAAAUGUUUGAAUGAAGCACAAACCUAGAUUCUUAUAUGCCUUUUUCCCAUGUUCUUGCUUGCAGUUCCUUUUGUGUUUCUUUACUAAAAUCAUUGUACGCUUUAGCUGCAACUGGACUAGAAGUCUAAAACAAAGAAGAGAGAGAGGGAGGGAGCGAGAGAUUUGGGAAUAAGUAGUAUUUCGUUUCUUUUGUAUUAAAAGGCUUUUAAUUUUUGGAAAGCUCCCGCUCUGUUAUGUGUUUUAUUUGUAUUGCAAGGUUAAAGAGAAAAUUUGCAAGAAGCUUUGUUGUUGCUCUGAGUUGAUUAAUUGAUGAAGCAUCCUGAUGUUGUGGUUGUUGGGAGGAGAUUAACUGAGACCACCAGAGUUCAACUUCAUGUUUGUCAUUUGGAUUAGAAAGUCAAUUAUGUCAGCACCUUCUUUAGUGCUUUCUGUUAGGCAAAUAGAGCUGUCAAUUGAAAGGCGUGUUGUUAAUGCACAUAUGUAAUUGAUCAUCUGUUCCAGGUUACGAGACCCAUUAUUAAAUCCUUUCAAGUAAGUAGUAAAUAAUAUCCUCUAGCAGGGAUUUAAAUGGAGAUCUAUUGGGACUCCCCUGGAAGCAUUCUGACUUCCAGUCAAGGAAGCCGCCAUAAGAUGAACUGCGAGCGCUUGAGCAGGCAAGAAUUGUAUGUAAGGUUUUCUCUUUGUCUAUUAUCUGUAAUUCUAGCCUGUAUACAGGUAAGUAAAGCAUGUGUGUGUUCUUCCUGUUAAUUUUUUUUUAAAAAAAACGUGUGUUCCUUUUUCUCGUUAAUAGUGGUCACCUUUGUGUAUGUGCAUGAUCGAGAGUGAGAUUUUGAUCUCUGAAGAUCUGCUUUUGGAUUAAUUGAGACCAUCCACGCUCAACUAAUUCUCUACGAGGGCUAUUUAAUGGCAUAAGACAUUGCUUCAUGAUGUCUAAUUAUUUCCUUGAUCUUUUCCAAAACUCCCUGCAAACUCUAUGGGAGAUUUAGAAGUGAGGGAAGCCUGUCGUAUCCAAUGGCUGCUACGCCAGUCCAAGUAUAGUCUGUGACUGUCUACAGCAAGAGUUGAUAAUGAACUGCAGAUACUCCUGUGGCGUAACUGCAGUUUAAAGAAGGAAAUUGCCAUUUGCAAAGACAAAUGCAGAUAAAAUUUCAAGUCCUGUUGUGUGAUCAUCAGCCACUGAUUGUACUCUAGGCUCUAAAUGCUGUGCUUUAUUGGCAGGCCAUAUGUGUUGGAACAGGGAUUUCCUCACAGCCAAAGUCUUUAUCUGCUUGUUUGCAAUGAACUAUUCGUCUUAUUGGUUGUGACUUAAGCUCUGUCCAUCGGAAACUAUGAUAUGAACUCUGUUGGAAGAUCUUUCACCAACGCUCCUGCAUUCUUAAGCAACCAAACUCAGUAGAUGGUAUGCAACUGAUCUCCCUGUGCUCGAUUAACUGUAUGAGAUGGUCUUGGAAACUCGGAUUCUGCUGGUCAUGUUAUGAGGGAAACUGCAGGACUAGUUACAGGAAGUGAUAACUAUGAAGAUGAAUUUAUGUUGAGUGAGGUUCCUAUUUAAUUGACAAAGUUGGAUUUUUUUGCAAGCUAUAACGUGUAAAUAUUGAACCAAAAGCACAAACAUUAUAGGAUUGUUUUCUGCUGUUGUGGAAGCUUGUAAUCUGUGUAUAUAAAUGGUUGACAUAGGACCAAUGCAAAUAUGAGAUUAUCGUCUAUACUAGUUCUAGUU